rnacentral:rRNA from 1 species
UCGACGGCGGUGUUUGGCACCUCGAUGUCGGCUCAUCACAUCCUGGGGCUGAAGUAGGUCCCAAGGGUAUGGCUGUUCGCCAUUUAAAGUGGUACGCGAGCUGGGUUUAGAACGUCGUGAGACAGUUCGGUCCCUAUCUGCCGUGGGCGCUGGAGAACUGAGGGGGGCUGCUCCUAGUACGAGAGGACCGGAGUGGACGCAUCACUGGUGUUCGGGUUGUCAUGCCAAUGGCACUGCCCGGUAGCUAAAUGCGGAAGAGAUAAGUGCUGAAAGCAUCUAAGCACGAAACUUGCCCCGAGAUGAGUUCUCCCUGAGACUUAGAGUCUCCUGAAGGAACGUUGAAGACGACGACGUUGAUAGGCCGGGUGUGUAAGCGCAGCGAUGCGUUGAGCUAACCGGUACUAAUGAACCGUGAGGCUUAACCUUACAACGCCGAAGCUGUU